CUUCCUCACUUUCAAUUUCUUUCUUCUCUUUUCAAUCUCAUCUCACUUUCUUCCCUCCAUUCUUCGAACAGCCUCCACGGUCACCACCAUCGUCAUCCCUCCUGCCCAGCUCAUGACCAAUCGUCGUCGAAUAUUCAAAGAGAAGAAACGGACUCCUAAAAAAAGCUUAUGAACUCUCUGUUCUAUGCGAUGCUGAAGUUGCUUUGAUCAUCGUUUCCACACAAGGCAAGCUCUACUAGUUCGGCAGUGCUGGCACUUCCAAAACAUUGGAGCGAUAUCAACGUUGUUGCUUCUCUCCUCAACACAAUUUUGCUGAAUGAGAAACCCAGCAUUUCAGUGAAGUUUCCUUACCUAGUCCAAAAGAAACUUAAAGAAGGCCAAGAAGUGAGACGUGUGGCACAGCUUGACUGGAAGAUAAUUGAGGAUCAUCACGAGAAACCAUUUGUUGCAUCAGGCUUGCGAUUUAUUCCUUUGCCCGUUAUGCAUGGAGAAGAUUAUAUAUGUUUUAUGAUUAAUUGACUAUUUUCAGAACCUUUAUUGGGCUGAUAGUGGUGAUUUGGUGGCAAUAGCCAGUGAUACAUCAUCAGUGAUAAACAAAGAGUUCAAUGUCGUUGGAUACACAUUGAAGUGUUAAGACCCUUGUAAUGCGUGGGGACUAUGAAAGAGCCAACGAAAUCUUACCUUCAAUUCCCAAGGAGCAUCGUAACAGUGUGGCCCGUUUCUUGGAAGCACGAGGUAUGAUAGAGGAAGCUCUGGAAGUAGCUACUGAUCCAGAGGAGUAUCCUAAUUUGUUUAAUGAUUGGCAAGUUGCACUUUCUGUUGAAUCUAGAGCUGCAUAAGACAGGGAGUUAUCACUAAACAAAUGAUUGCAAUAGAAGAAAUGGUUGCAAGUGAGUAAAAUUAGCCAGACCCUCAUCUUUGUGACAAGAUCUUGAAGUUAGUCAUUUGUGUAGCGUUCUAGUUUGCUAUUAGUUGCAGUUUUAGUUAUUGCUCUCUCAAUAUAUUCUUUUUCUUUUUUUUUUUCAAAGGAUGAUCAGUGUAAUAAUUAAGCUUCAUAAUUUCUGUGUUUGGAUCCAAGUUGUAUAUAAAUGUACACAUUAUUAAGAUUUCAUUUUGUAUAUGUACAAGUAAAAGAUUUCAUUUUUAA